rnacentral:misc_RNA from 1 species
AUGGCCGCUACAUUCCCACUGUCAGCUGGAACGUAUUCGAUCAAUGGAAGAAAGUACCGAAAAACGGCUUAUAACCUGAAGGCUGACACGUCAUUUGAUCUGAAUACGGAUACGACAUUUGCAGAUACUCCGGAUAUCUACGAAGAUGAAGCAUCAGCUGAUUGUUUUGCUCCACCUGGUCUCCCUGAAUUGCGGAAAAGGGCAGCAAAAGCUAAGAUAGUUGCAAAAGCUGUGGAAACAAGUUCUAAGGAACCGGAGCCAACUGAAGAUGAUCGUAUCAAAGUGAUUGGUGGCAAGAAAUGGAUUUCUAGCAUUAAUGUGGCGCCCUGUUUUAUUGGAAAAUUGAUUGGAACAAACCGUCGAACUCUGAAUUCACUAGAAAACGAGACUCAAUGUCGAGUGAAGACGCCGAGGAGAAAUGAAAAUAUCGCUUGUGAAAUAUCUUCAAUUGUGAGCUUAGAAUGUGUUCAGAGGUGUUUGGAUCGAUUGGAAAUUUUUAUUGACGACUCGAGAAAGACGGCUCGUGUAAAUCACUUCGUAGCUCUGCCCUGCGACCAACAUGAGGUUCAAGAGAACUUCAAUAUUUUCAAGCAAAUGGUUAUGGAAAGCGAUCAUUUUGAUAGCUCGUGUAAAAAUUCGCAACUGUUCACAAAACCUACACGUCUUCAUUUGACCCUUUCCGUCGCUAGAAUUUUUGAUGAUAUGGAUCUACAAAAGGCCGUUGGUGCGUUCGAAAUUUUAGAGAAGGAAAUCAGACAAAUAAAGGAUUCGAAACCGUUGAUCGCAGAUAUUCAAGGAAUCGAUAUGAUGAAUGACGAUCCAUCACAAGUUUUCGUGCUUUAUGCGAAAGUGAAGGGAGAUAAAGUCCAAGAAGUGGCAAACUAUGUGAAUCGUCGCCUAAUCGAACUUGGAGUAAGCUCUAAAAACGAGCACGAUAAUGGAUCCGACGCCGUGAAGCUACAUAUGACUCUGAUGAAUUCAAGAUAUGUUACUCAAUCUGAAAAGUCUGGAAAAAGUAAAGAAGCCGCUUUGUUUGAUGCAAAACAAGUAUUGGAAGACUUGAAAGACUCGUAUUUCGGAACAUUUGAGUUGAAAGAGGUAAAUUUUGAUGUCAAAAAAUUUAAACAAAGAAUUUAAGAUUUGCCUGUGCCCGAUGAGCUCGAAUUCGCAAACUUCUGACGGAAAAUUCUACGACAAGCUUGCAAUCAUCAAAUUGGCUUAA